AGUGAACGCUGGCGGUAUGCCUAACACAUGCAAGUCGAACGGCAGCACAGUAAGAGCUUGCUCUUACGGGUGGCGAGUGGCGGACGGGUGAGGAAUACAUCGGAAUCUACUUUUGCGUGGGGGAUAACGUAGGGAAACUUACGCUAAUACCGCAUACGACCUACGGGUGAAAGCAGGGGAUCUUCGGACCUUGCGCGAUUGAAUGAGCCGAUGUCGGAUUAGCUAGUUGGCGGGGUAAAGGCCCACCAAGGCGACGAUCCGUAGCUGGUCUGAGAGGAUGAUCAGCCACACUGGAACUGAGACACGGUCCAGACUCCUACGGGAGGCAGCAGUGGGGAAUAUUGGACAAUGGGCGCAAGCCUGAUCCAGCCAUACCGCGUGGGUGAAGAAGGCCUUCGGGUUGUAAAGCCCUUUUGUUGGGAAAGAAAAGCAGCAGGUUAAUACCCCGCUGUUCUGACGGUACCCAAAGAAUAAGCACCGGCUAACUUCGUG
rnacentral:rRNA from 1 species